rnacentral:tRNA from 1 species
GGUUCCGUGGUGUAGGGGUUAACAUGCCUGCCUGUCACGCAGGAGAUCGCGGGUUCGAUUCCCGUCGGGACCGC